UACAGAGGUCUCAAGCGUUGUUCGGAAUCACUGGGCGUAAAGGGUGCGUAGGCGGCAUGGAAAGUCAGAUGUGAAAUCCGAAAGCUCAACUUUCGAAUUGCAUCCGAUACUCCCGUGCUAGAGAACUGAAGGGGAGCUUGGAAUUCUCGGUGUAGCAGUGAAAUGCGUAGAUAUCGAGAAGAACACUUGUGGCGAAGGCGAAGCUCUGGACAGAAUCUGACGCUGAGGCACGAAGGCUAGGGUAGCAAACGGG
rnacentral:rRNA from 1 species